AAAACAUGACUGCAAAAAAAACCAUCAAAACAUGAACAUCUAGAACAACACAUCAACAUAAAAAUGGAACAAUCUUCACCAAAACUCAGUCAGAGGAGCUUGCAUCUUCAUCAGCUUCAGACCCAGAACUGCCACUUGAUUCAUCUUGAGAUUCAGACCUCUCACUAGAGGUGUGGGCUUAUGUUUCCUUGGCUUGACCAAC
rnacentral:lncRNA from 1 species